rnacentral:tRNA from 1 species
GCGGAUGUAGUUUAAUGGUAGAACUGCUGCCUUCCAAGCAGUGGGUCCGGGUUCGAUUCCCGGCGUCCGCACAA